UACGAAGGGGGCAAGCGUUGUUCGGAAUUACUGGGCGUAAAGGGCGCGUAGGCGGACUCUUAAGUCGGUGGUGAAAUCCUGGAGCUCAACUCCAGAACUGCCUUCGAUACUGAGAGUCUUGAGUCCGGGAGAGGUGAGUGGAACUGCGAGUGUAGAGGUGAAAUUCGUAGAUAUUCGCAAGAACACCAGUGGCGAAGGCGGCUCACUGGCCCGGUACUGACGCUGAGGUGCGAAAGCGUGGGGAGCAAACAGG
rnacentral:rRNA from 1 species